GAUGAACGCUGACAGAAUGCUUAACACAUGCAAGUCGAUGGGGAAGUGGUGCUUGCACCAUGGUAACCAUGGCGGACGGGUGAGUAACGCGUAAGGAACUUGCCUGCGGGACUGGGAUAACAGCAGGAAACUGCUGAUAAUACCGGAUAAGGUCAUUAAGCUGCAUAGCUUAGUGAUGAAAGGAGACGCCUGCGGAGAGCCUUGCGUCCUAUUAGCUAGUUGGAGGGGUAACGGCCCACCAAGGCGAAGAUAGGUAGCCGGCCUGAGAGGGUGGACGGCCACAAGGGGACUGAGAGACGGCCCUUACUCCUACGGGAGGCAGCAGUGGGGAAUAUUGGACAAUGGGGGCAACCCUGAUCCAGCAAUUCGGUGUGCACGAAGACGGUUUUCGGAUUGUAAAGUGCUUUCAGCAGGGAAGAAGGAAGUGACGGUACCUGCAGAAGAAGCGACGGCUAAAUACGU
rnacentral:rRNA from 1 species